UGGCAGUGAUUUGACAUUACCUGCGCUUCUGAUGUAACCUGUGAAGGAAAGGGAAAAAUCAAUGGUUGAAUUUCUUAAUAUGAGCCA
rnacentral:snoRNA from 1 species